AGGCAGCAGCGUCACCGUCACCCCUCCCCGCCCUUCCAUUCCUGUAGGAGAAGCUGCAGGAGCAGAGGGAGGAAGAGCAUCAUGGCUGAGUUUGAGCAAGGCCAUCAGAUCCUGAGGGAACAGGAACAACACCUGCUGGACCAGCUGGGGAAGCUGGGGCAGGAGCUCAUAUAGAACAGGGAGCAGUACAAAGCCAGGAGUGCUGAAGAGUUCGCCCGGCUGACACAGGUCAUCUCUGAGCUGGAGGACAAGGCACAGCAGCCGGCUGCAGAGCUCCUGCAGGACUCCAAAGACAUCUUGAACAGGUACCCACGGAAGGUCUGGACUGAGAUACCCCUCUCUCCAGUAGUGAAGAAAAAGAGAGCACUCUCAGAUAAGCUUCUGUCUCUGCAGCAAGGCCUGCAAGAGUUCCAAGAGAAGCUGCUCAGAGACUUGGAGUAUGAGAAAGCGAGCGUGUCCCCGGACCUGCGGUCAGCCAACU